AAAUUGUUUCCAGGUAAACUCAAAUCUAAGUGGUCAGGACCAUUUAAAGUUAGUCAAGUCUACUCAUCUGGAGUAGUUGAGCUUAAAAAUAAAUACGACAGCAUCUUCAAAGUGAACGGGCAAUGAAUCAAACUUUAUAUUGGUCCAAAAAACUCGAUAAGAAGUGUUGAUAUCUUUUAUCUUGAUGAAGUCUGAGUAAUCGAGAUAACUGAGUCAUGCCGUGAUGAUAAAUUAGGCACUAAUAAGUGGCAAACCACAAAGUGUUGUUGUAACCAUAGUUAGAGUUCAUUUCAUGUUUUUGUGCAACGUUGAUGUAUUUGUAAAGUGUGCAGGAC
rnacentral:lncRNA from 1 species